AUUGAACGCUGGCGGCAUGCCUUACACAUGCAAGUCGAACGGCAGCGCGGGGGCAACCCUGGCGGCGAGUGGCGAACGGGUGAGUAAAAUAUCGGAAAGUGCACGAAAGUGGGGGAUAACGUAGCGAAAGUUACGAUAAUACCGCAUAAGAUCUAAGAAUGAAAGCGGGGGAUCGCAAGACAUCGUGCUUUAGGAGUGGACGAUAACUGAUUAGCUAGUUGGUGGGGUAAAGGCGCACCAAGGCGACGAUCAGUAGCUGGUCUGAGAGGACGACCAGCCACACUGGGACUGAGACACGGCCCAGACUCCUACGGGAGGCAGCAGUGGGGAAUUUUGGACAAUGGGGGCAACCCUGAUCCAGCAAUGCCGCGUGUGUGAAGAAGGCCUUCGGGUUGUAAAGCACUUUUGUUCGGGACGAAACGGUUUGGGCUAAUACCCUGAGCUAAUGACGGUACCGUAAGAAUAAGCACCGGCUAACUACGUGCCAGCAGCCGCCGUAA
rnacentral:rRNA from 1 species